rnacentral:rRNA from 1 species
AGUGAACGCUGGCGGCGUGCUUAACACAUGCAAGUCGAACGAGAACGGAUUAUAGCUUGCUAUAAUUGUCAGCUAAGUGGCGCACGGGUGAGUAAUGUAUAGGUAAUAUGCCUCUUACUAAGGGAUAACAAUUGGAAACGAUUGCUAAUACCUUAUAUUCCUUUUUAUCAAAAGAUAAAAAGGGAAAGAUUUAUUGGUAAGAGAUUAGCCUGUAUUGUAUCAGUUAGUUGGUGGGGUAAUGGCCUACCAAGACGAUGACGCAUAACUGGUUUGAGAGGAUGAGCAGUCACACUGGAACUGAGACACGGUCCAGACUCCUACGGGAGGCAGCAGUGGGGAAUAUUGCACAAUGGACGAAAGUCUGAUGCAGCAACGCCGCGUGGAGGAUGACACAUUUCGGUGCGUAAACUCCUUUUAUAUAAGAAGAUAAUGACGGUAUUAUAUGAAUAAGCACCGGCUAACUCCUUGCCAGCAGCCGCCGUAA